AAACAUAAUCACCAGGUGUGCUGGGACCAAGUCUCACACAUAUGAUGAAUCAUGGCACAGGAUCGAAUGUCACAUCUUUACUACAUAACAGGAGUUCUAUACAAAAUAAUUAAGUAUUUACAUUAUAAGGAGACAACGGUCCAGCAACCCAAAGUUGACUGGGAGACGACGACCUAGACCUCUCACGAACUCGCACAGCAUCCUUCAAGCGCCUCGUCCUGUGGUACCUGUUCUUGACCUGUGGGGGGGUGUGAGACAGCAAGAGUGAGCUCACAUACGUUCAUCGCUCAACAAGUUGUGGGGAAUAAUGUGCAUGAACUCGCCAAAGGUGGGAGCUCACGUGAAGUGUAAGGCUUACCAACGGAGAUGGUUGAAGCUGAGCAUUGCUUUUAAAGUUGGUCAAAAUUUUAUUAGCAAUUACUAAGUAUAAGUAAAUACCAACUCAAUUAAGUAGUAGAACAGAAGUAACAACAUCACCUGCGAUGCAAUGCAUAUGACAAAUUGAAUUUAAGUUCCAUAGAUUAAUCAUGUGAGGGUCCGAGCCGCUCAUGACCGUGAGCAUGGCUAGUAUACCAGUUUUACACUCUGCAGAGGUUGCGCAUCUUUACCCACAAGUCAUGUUACCCAUCUGCCAAGGGAUCGCGACUUCCCAUACACCUCUACCGAGGAGGCGAGGCAGGGUAACACUACGAGGCCUUUACAAAGUUCCACUAGCUUCAGAAAACCUGCUACAGUUUAUAGGAAGCUCCAAUGCAGGAAUCCCUUGCAGGACCGCCAUCGUAGCAAAAUCCUCCCGAGGGCCUCCCUACACUGACCACUCCCCUACUGCCCUUGCCCCUUUCGGGUAAGGUAGUCCUCCACUAGCUUUCCUAAUUAAUCAGCCAAGGGCGUCCCAUUAAACCCUUAUGGUAGCACUGUUUUCCCGGGUGGUCGCUCCAUGUUCCAAUUAACAUAAUGAUCUUAUCAUGAACGAUAAAUAACAACGGAUAACAAAAGUAUAAUCAUGAGUAAUGUAUCUUCAUACCCAAAACCACAUAAAGCACUAGCAAGUACUACCCAAAAAGUUCAGUGGUAACAAGGUACAAAGAUAAUCAAACUAGGGUAACCUAUUGGGUCCCAUCAAAAUUAACCUAUGCAGAUCAUUAUGAUUAAUCAGAACAUGGCUGGGUAAAAAGAAGUGAUCAAGGGCACAACUUGCCUGGGACUUGAGAUUCCAGAUACCAACUUGCUUUUCAGAUGACACGUGUCCUCGCGCUAGUCGUAGCAAUACAAGCAAACAUGGUAUAGAUAAAAUUAACAUCACACCAAACAUAAGAACAAACUGAGUAAUAAUGAUCUACGCGCUGCUACGAGACUAACGCAACUUGAACGGAUCAAAUCAGAGUUAAAACGGAGGAGUUAUGAUUUUCUGAAGAUUAUAUGUGUUUUGUACAAGAUUAAAUAGGAUAUAAAUUUUAAUGUGACAUUCAUGUCAAAACAGUGGUACUAAUUGAUAAACAAUAUUAUUAUAAAAUUAUAGAAACUAGAAUGGAUCAAUUUGGAGUUCAUAUGAAGUUUCUGUGAUUUAUACAACUUCUAGCAAUUAUUUUUGUAUUAAAAUCAAUUUCUAAAAUUAAAUAACUGAAUUCUCAGAGCUGUGGACUGGGCGCACAAAAUCUAGACAACCCGGGGGCCGCUACAUGAAUUUUCCUAAGACUCAGAGGUAUUCCGCGAGGACGGCGGGUUGUUUUUAGGAAAAUCUGGGGGCUCUUAUGCAUAAUAGGCACGGCGAAGGGGUAUCCUUUCAUCUAGGCCGCGCGAUCUGAUUUCAACGAUCCAGAUUAUAAUCCGAGCCCCGCGAACCGGUACAGGCUCACAACCGUUGGAUCCGAGAUCCACGGCACAGAUCACUUCCAUCCGAACGCUGCUGAACUUCUAAUCGUGGCCGCCCGAUCUUCAUCUAAUGGACCGGAUCAACUCACGCGAAGGGAUACAUGAAUUCUAUUCACAGCCGCAUGAUACCGGAUCAACGACCCAGCACCAUCUCCUUCCUCUCGUCGCUUAGAUCGACGGCCAAGCGCGGCGGCAGUACACACCGGUGAGUCCCAGCCCGGUGCACCGGUGAACUACCCAUGUGCCUACUAGCAAAACACGACACAGAGAACAGAGGGAAUCACCCAGCUGGGAGUUCUUACCUAGACUCGGCAGGUGGCAGGACUGCCCACACGCUACGGUGCUGGCUCACUACAACAGGUUCGACCGGGGCCCAGGACCUUCUCCGCGCUCGAGAGCGACGCAGAUGUUCGCACGAUGCCUCCCUGCACCCCUCUUUCCGACGAACACGGCGACACGAACGGAAGCUAGAACUUGGCGUUUGCAUGGAAGGGCUAUGGCAGCUACCGGAUAGGAGAUGCCUCUGUUCCUAUUUAUAACCCAAAGAAGGUGGGCUGGCGUCUGGCUGGCAAGCCCGACGGUUACGGAGGUGAGUCUGUUACGAUCUUGACGGCACGAUUUUGUUAAGUCAUCCCCACAAGCAGCGUCACGGGAGAUACCAGGAUGACUCCGUCCAUGACGUCAAUAUAACGUAUACUACGGCUGAUACAAUAAAAUUUUAAAUAAAUAAUAUAAAUGAAUAAAAAAACAAGGCUACAAGGAUCUGGGUGUGGGCCGCCGUAUGAGAAACAUGGAAAUGAGUGGGCCGACACCACCAUACGUGUGGGUGAGUUUUCUAUUUUUUUCUACUCUUGUUUUCCUAUUUUCACUUUGGAGAUUCAGUUUCAAUCGAAGUUGUGAAUCUCAAAUUUCAUUCAAAUGCAACACAUAAAAUACCAGCAUGAAUGCAAAAGUAUAUUUUAUAUAUAACAUAUAUUUGUUUUAUUAUUUUUUUGUUCUUUUAUUCAUGAUUCUAAUUAUGAAAUAGAGAAUGGUUCACAUCUCAUGAAUUUUUAGGGAAAUAUAAUGUAUACUGUAGAUUAUAUAUUAAGAUAUAGUUUAAUCAUAAUUCUUCUAAUUUCACUCCAAGAAUAAUUUAGUUUAUCUGGUAUCUUUUUAUUUUAGUAAAAAAAAUAUAUUAAUUUUUUUUGGAGUAGUAACUUUUGAAAUUAUGAAUGUUCUCAAGGAAAGGUGUUUUGAUUUUAAAACCCCCGAGAGGAUUUUCCUUCUUUUCAGAGGAUUGAACUUUAGGGUGUUACAAAUCCUACCCCCCUUAACAAGAAUCUCGUCCUCGAGAUUAGUAAGAAAAGGGAUACAAAAGGAUUGGUGUGUAAUUCAUCUUUUAGUCUAUAAUUGGUUCAAAAAUCCAGAGUCUCAUUUUUUAGUCAAUAGUGGGCGAUUGGCAGACAUAGGUAUCCAGUUACUUAUUAUGUAGGAUAAAAGAUGUCUUUGAAGCAUAGAUAGGUUUGGGUAAGAAAGAGUAGGGUAAGGAAAGACUCCAUCCAAGAUUGUGGCUCUUGAUUCUUUUGAAGAUCUGGCUUGAAUCUUAUCCUUCCUUGAUUUGAUGAGGUCGAUCAUCUUCGAUUUUCGUUUUUGAAGUUGUUAUCCGAAUUAGGGACAUGUAGUUAAAAUAAAGUAGUAGGUGGAGCAGCUAGUUUAGUAGGUGGCUAUGAGUUAAAUGAGAUUAGUCGGAAUCUGGUUUGGAUGUUUUGCUUCUGAAUGGUUUGGAUAGGUUAUGUAACAUAUUAUGUAGGUCAAGUUAUUGGGUAUGGCCGAGUUGAUCUAAGUUACCAAAUUAGGCUUAAGUGAGUUAGGAGUAUUUCCUUAUAUUUUGUAACAGCAUUAAGUAACUCAAUCUAGCUUAGAUCAUUAUAGAUUAGAUAGAAUCCAGAUUAGGUUGGUAUGACUAGAUUAAACUAAUUAAGAUUAGAUAGAUCUACCAGGGUGGGAUAAAUAUUAUUAGGAUAUGCUAGAAUCUUUUAAGAAGGAUGGACAUUGUUUAGGCUAGAUAUUUUAAUGAGUGAUAAUCUAAGUUGAUUAGUUAUCUUAUGAAUUUUUUUAUUUAUAUUUAUGCCUAUAUGUAUAUGCAGAUGUAAUUGUGGACAUUACUCCACAACUCAUCACACUCAAUCAAAGAUCCAAAUCAGACAAGUAUCAUAAGAACAAACAUUCAAGUGCAUAGAUACACACAUAAAAAUAAUAUUUUUGUUUUUGUUCCUAAGAGUAGGUCUCCUAUUCCUAAAGGUCACUUUAGGUACAGGAUUUCAAAGUGUGAAAUCCACAGUUGUCUUUAGAAGGAAAAGGUAAGAAUAAUCAGAGUAAAGCGGAAAUAGAUGAGAAAAGAUUAAGAUAAGUUUAGAAAAGGAUCAGAGUAGCAAAGGUAAGUAGAUAAUGAUUGUCCAGUUCUAUCUAGGUUUUGUCCUACAGUCAACAUUCCUCUGAUACCACUUCUGUCACACCCGGAUUUUAGGGGUCCAAAGCCCGGGCGUAAACAUAAUCACCAGGUGUGCUGGGACCAAGUCUCACACAUAUGAUGAAUCAUGGCACAGGAUCGAAUGUCACAUCUUUACUACAUAACAGGAGUUCUAUACAAAAUAAUUAAGUAUUUACAUUAUAAGGAGACAACGGUCCAGCAACCCAAAGUUGGCUGGGAGACGACGACCUAGACCUCUCACGAACUCGCACAGCAUCCUUCAAGCGCCUCGUCCUGUGGUACCUGUUCUUGACCUGUGGGGGGGUGUGAGACAGCAAGAGUGAGCUCACAUACGUUCAUCGCUCAACAAGUUGUGGGGAAUAAUGUGCAUGAACUCGCCAAAGGUGGGAGCUCACGUGAAGUGUAAGGCUUACCAACGGAGAUGGUUGAAGCUGAGCAUUGCUUUUAAAGUUGGUCAAAAUUUUAUUAGCAAUUACUAAGUAUAAGUAAAUACCAACCCAAUUAAGUAGUAGAACAGAAGUAACAACAUCACCUGUGAUGCAAUGCAUAUGACAAAUUGAAUUUAAGUUCCAUAGAUUAAUCAUGUGAGGGUCCGAGCCGCUCAUGACCGUGAGCACGGCUAGUAUACCAGUUUUACACUCUGCAGAGGUUGCGCAUCUUUACCCACAAGUCAUGUUACCCAUCUGCCAAGGGAUCGCGACUUCCCAUACACCUCUACCAAGGAGGCGAGGCAGGGUAACACUACGAGGCCUUUACAAAGUUCCACUAGCUUCAGAAAACCCG
rnacentral:lncRNA from 1 species